CUACGGAGGGUGCAAGCGUUACUCGGAAUCACUGGGCGUAAAGCGCGCGCAGGCGGCUUGGUAAGUUGGACGUGAAAGCCUACGGCUCAACCGUAGAACUGCAUCCAAAACUGUCAAGCUAGAGUGUGGGAGAGGAAGAUGGAAUUAGUUGUGUAGGGGUAAAAUCCGUAGAGAUAACUAGGAAUACCAAAAGCGAAGGCAAUCUUCUGGAACACUACUGACGCUGAGGCGCGAAAGCGUGGGGAGCAAACAGGAUUAGAAACCCUAGUAGUCC
rnacentral:rRNA from 1 species